CCAAAAGUUGAUCCAAUCCGAACGAAAAAUUUCGCCGGAUUUGGACGUGGGGAGCCCAACGAGUGGGGAUGCUCUUAUCCUCUUUCCCCUCUCUCUAAGAUCCCACCCACGGUGGCAUGGCCAUCGAAAUCUGUUGUCACAGUGAGCACGGCGGCCUUGGAGAGGCGGCCCAAGCAGACGGGGAUCGGCUCGCAGAGGUGGUCAUGGGCUCACCGCUGACGGCGCCAAUGUCCAUGGCCAGCAUGCUUUGGUGGCUGAAAGCUUGAGCGCACAGUGCCGGCGAGGCUCUCAGCUGCAUCCUUCAUGUGUGCAGCUCAAGGGCCAAGAAGGUAGAUGCAGUCAACGCCAAAGAGAGCGCGUCGUGCUGGCAUGGCCGGUCGUGGCCGGAUGCGGUGGUCGUCCCAUGCCCUGCUGGCGGGGAGACAUGGUGCGGCGCCAUUGCGAGCAAUAGGAAGAAGCCAUCUUUUUUGGUAGACCAGAGCCGUGAAAAGCGGCGCUGGAGAUGGAGGAAAAGGAGCGGGACAUGGGCAGCCGCCGGCAGGCAGCAGUAGCCCAAACCCAGUCCAGCCUGACGGACUAUUGCUCGGAUGAGUGCCGUCAAGGAACCACACGAGCUGCGGAUAACCAAAAUAUGCAGCAGUAAAAGCCAAUUCAGAAGGUCCGGCUGGAACUGGCGUUGUCCAUCUCCAUUGUUUGGUUAUCUAUGGCUCUAUGCCAACAACCACAACGCAGAAGCAGGACAAUCCGGUCGGCAGCCACCAACACAAUGUCCAUCCAUCAAAGGCCUGGAUCAAGUGAACUGUAAGCAUGCUCUCGGCGUUCGGUAGCGCUAGCCCUGCGCGAGGCUGCUUCCUCAAUUCUGCCGGAGGACAGGCAUCAAGGCGGCAAUCGAUGGGUGCGUGGCCACGGCUGUCUUAGUUGCACCGUGACCAGGGACACACUCACGCGCACAGCGGGGGAUCCUCAGUCGCCUUCUGGGCGGGGCACUGCUUGGCCCGCGGCGCCAUCAGUAACAUGCCUCUACAGCUCAGGCAUCGAUGAAAGCGAGCCCAACCUCGGGGAGAACCUAGUUGAUCUCUUCCACAGCUCCUUGCCGCCAGCGACGAUACAUGGCUCCCGCGUCCAUCACCAGUAGCCUCAAAAAAGGAGGGAGAUGGGAAGCGGCUGACUUGGUCGUGCUCUACAAAAUCGGCAGGCCCACAUCGCGUCAAUCAAGAAUUAGGAGCGGCUGCCGUUCAUCCUCGCAGCCAUGACCCACCAUCACCACCACACGGUUGAUGUUGCCAAUUCAUGGCGGCAGCGGGGGGAAAAAGCACCGAAGGGCCGAUGGAUCGGGGAGGCAGCUCUAGAAGAGCAAAGAAUAGAACGUGGCAAAACAAAAUCGCCGGAGAUGCAGUUGAGAGGUCCUUACCUAGGCUGGAGAGGGAGGCACCACUAUUGCCCGGGCGGCAACCUUCAUGACAUGAAGCAGAGGACGGCACUGCAGUCGACCGCCGCCGUCCAAGGAAGGAGCACCUCACUCUGACUACAGCUGGCAGUCGUGGAGGAGCUCAGUUAGAGAUAGAUGACGGCAAGGAAGAGGUCAGCUAGGGUUCAAAGUGAGCGGUGGUUUGGGGGAGGAAGACGGACAUGGAAAAGAAUUUUGGAGAUCUCUCUGGAGAAGAAAGGCCUAGAUGAAAAUAGAGAAAAAAAAUAUCUGGAGGAAGAGAUCCUAAUCGGUGGCUUAUUAAGCGGUGGAAGGUUGACCAGAAGACCGGGAGCCUAACCGGUAGCCAGCCUGAAAAAAAAAAGAUCCACCAGCACACAACCGGUAACACUUGGCUUUAACGCCUGAAAAAAAAAGAAUAAAAAGGAGGAAGAGUGGGAUCUAUGAACGUAAUUUGAGGAUCUACAGUUGUUACAGUUGUAAAAGAGUACGUGGCAUAGCUAUUCAAUCGUAAAUUCAUCCAACUUUUAUAUAGGGGUAUAACAACCUCCAUUUGGAAAUAAGUGGCUCAACUUUAUCUGGAUACAUCUACACAUCGAAAUCCAUAUCUAGAUAUAGUUAGGGCAUAUAGGGUGACGUCAGCCUUCCCUUACGGCUGCCACGUAGGAUUUUUGCUUAGUUGGAGAAGAGAGAAUGAAUAAAGAGAAGGUUGUCUUCCCUUAGCUAAGAGAUGAUCUCUUAUGAAAUAUAAGAGAAGACUAUUUUCUCCAUUAUACGAAUUGUCUUCCUUUAGACACAUAAUUUCCUACUAAAAAUAAUUAAUUCUCAUUUAUUGUAAGAGAUGAAAAUAAGAGAUAAUACAUUGUAUCAUUA